rnacentral:rRNA from 1 species
GAAUUCGCCCUUAGAGUUUGAUCCUGGCUCAGGACGAACGCUGGCGGCGCGCCUAACACAUGCAAGUCGAACGAGCGAGAGAGAGCUUGCUUUCUCGAGCGAGUGGCGAACGGGUGAGUAACGCGUGAGGAACCUGCCUCAAAGAGGGGGACAACAGUUGGAAACGACUGCUAAUACCGCAUAAGCCCACGGCUCGGCAUCGAGCAGAGGGAAAAGGAGCAAUCCGCUUUGAGAUGGCCUCGCGUCCGAUUAGCUAGUUGGUGAGGUAACGGCCCACCAAGGCGACGAUCGGUAGCCGGACUGAGAGGUUGAACGGCCACAUUGGGACUGAGACACGGCCCAGACUCCUACGGGAGGCAGCAGUGGGGAAUAUUGCACAAUGGGGGAAACCCUGAUGCAGCGACGCCGCGUGGAGGAAGAAGGUCUUCGGAUUGUAAACUCCUGUUGUUGGGGAAGAUAAUGACGGUACCCAACAAGGAAGUGACGGCUAACUACGUGCCAGCAGCCGCGGUAAAACGUAGGUCACAAGCGUUGUCCGGAAUUACUGGGUGUAAAGGGAGCGCAGGCGGGAAGACAAGUUGGAAGUGAAAUCUAUGGGCUCAACCCAUAAACUGCUUUCAAAACUGUUUUUCUUGAGUAGUGCAGAGGUAGGCGGAAUUCCCGGUGUAGCGGUGGAGUGCGUAGAUAUCGGGAGGAACACCAGUGGCGAAGGCGGCCUACUGGGCACCAACUGACGCUGAGGCUCGAAAGUGCGGGUAGCAAACAGGAUUAGAAUACCCUGGUAGUCCACACCGUAAACGAUGAUUACUAGGUGUUGGAGGAUUGACCCCUUCAGUGCCGCAGUUAACACAAUAAGUAAUCCACCUGGGGAGUACGACCGCAAGGUUGAAACUCAAAGGAAUUGACGGGGGCCCGCACAAGCAGUGGAGUAUGUGGUUUAAUUCGACGCAACGCGAAGAACCCUACCAAGUCUUGACAUCCCUUGACAGACAUAGAAAUAUGUAAUCUCUUCGGAGCAAGGAGACAGGUGGUGCAUGGUUGUCGUCAGCUCGUGUCGUGAGAUGUUGGGUUAAGUCCCGCAACGAGCGCAACCCUUAUGGUCAGUUACUACGCAAGAGGACUCUGGCCAGACUGCCGUUGACAAAACGGAGGAAGGUGGGGAUGACGUCAAAUCAUCAUGCCCUUUAUGACUUGGGCUACACACGUACUACAAUGGCGUUAAACAAAGAGAAGCAAGACCGCGAGGUGGAGCAAAACUCAGAAACAACGUCCCAGUUCGGACUGCAGGCUGCAACUCGCCUGCACGAAGUCGGAAUUGCUAGUAAUCGUGGAUCAGCAUGCCACGGUGAAUACGUUCCCGGGCCUUGUACUCACCGCCCGUCA